CAGCAGCCGCGGUAAUACGGAGGGUGCAAGCGUUAAUCGGAAUUACUGGGCGUAAAGCGCACGCAGGCGGUUUGUUAAGUCAGAUGUGAAAUCCCCGAGCUUAACUUGGGAACUGUAUUUGAAACUGGCAAGCUAGAGUCUUGUAGAGGGGGGUAGAAUUCCAGGUGUAGCGGUGAAAUGCGUAGAGAUCUGGAGGAAUACCGGCGGCGAAGGCGGCCCCCUGGACAAAGACUGACGCUCAGGUGCGAAAGCGUGGGGAGCAAACAGGAUUAGAUACCCCAGUAGUCCCUGUCUCUUAUAC
rnacentral:rRNA from 1 species